CAAACGAUGCCAAGUUGAGUUAGAAAUCUUCCGUCUUCCUUCCGGAGCACAGGCACGCCUGCUUCUCACCUCGCUCCAGCUCAUCACCAUCAUCAGCUACAACAUCUCAGCUACUCAGUGAACACAGGGUUGGCCACCCCGUGUUAAACAUUGAGCAACUAUUGCUGGGAACGUUGGAUGAACCAGAAUAACUUUACAUGAUGAAUCUGGAUGAUAUGCAACUUGAUACCAGAGCCUUUGCUAACAAGAAAGAAACUAAUAGACUCAGCCAUGCUGCAGUAAAGAACAGGAAUGAAAGAGAGAGAGAGAAAGAAAGAAGGCAUGUUGCUGUUAUUCCAAAAGACCAACACAGCUACCAAAUACAUCCCUGAAACAUGGAAGAUGCCAAAUUUUAGCCAAUUUUGGAUUUAAACUUCAUUGCUGAACAACAAGAAAGAUUUCUACACCUCCCUGCCUUUCUGUCAUCUGAUACCACCAGGGAAGGAAUCCUGCCUGAUCUGCACAGCAGAGAGCGACUCACAAAGACACUCUCGUAGACCCAGAGGAGUAGACUUCCACCUUCAGCUUCCUCUGUGCAAAGAAGUUUAUUUUCUACUUAUGGGGACUUUUUACCAUCUUUAAUUUUCCCUGAGCCUCAGGAAGGGUGCCUGUGUCCGAAAGCUUUCAGAAAAAGAUUUUUUUUUCGGUGAUUUCUUAGUUGGUCUAAUAAAAGGUAUCAUCUCUGAACUAAUAGUUCUAGAGUUUUGCAUUUCACACAGUGUUAAGAACUCUGAAAAAUCAGGUCUGAGGCACCUUAAAUAGUGGAUACUUGACCUUAAUCUUUUUCUAUCUUAGUUCUGCAUCUUAAAAUGGAGAUAAUGGCAUCACCUCACUCCAAAGAUUUGUUCUGCCUAUUAACUCUGAAUAUCAACUAUGAACUAUUCAAAUACUAUAGUGAUGAGUAUUUGGCACCAUAAACUAACCCAGAAGGUAACUGAUAAUUCUGUUUUCAUACCAAAGCACAUUAAAUAAAGCAUAGAGCUACACUGUGAACAAAGAAGAAAGAACAACGUAUUGUACCUUCCAUCAAGUGCACUGAGACAGCGAUCUUGUAAAAAACAUAUCAUGUUAAAAUGUAAUUAAAGAGUGCAUAGGAACAACAUGCACAAAAAGGGCAAAUGAAUGUGGCAAAGGCACAUUAAAUCUGACAUUUUCUACUUCUACGUGCUUGACUUUGUAACUUUACUAAUAGUUUAAACUCUGAUUUUUUUUUGUGUGGUUAAGGGAUAUUCUGCCAUCUUUCAGAAUUUUAAAAGAAUUAUAUAGAAUAAAGGUAUAAUAGUUUUUCCUAAAACAGAGAGCUGUGCACACGAGAAAGCAUGAUGAAGUAUUGUUAUUCUACCCACUUCACCGAAAGAGCAACAGAAUACCCAACUGCGGUGUCUUUGGACUACUGGGAAGUAGUUUUGCAAAAGUAAUAUCAUGUUACAUUUCAAAAAUUGAAAUUUAAAAAUACCCUACCAGGGACAUGAAUGUAACAUUUCAUUGUGUCCUGUGGAAAAAAUGUAAUUUCUCUAUUGAAAUGAUACAAAGUCCAAAGCUGAUGAUCUGGCUGGGAACACUAUCAGACUGGAAGCAGCUGGAGAAAUGGUAAUGUACUAGCAGCAUACAAGGAUGUUGUGGGAAUAGACAAGAGAUAAUCCAAAACUGACUUUCAACUCCAAAGAGAAAGUAGACAUCAGUCAGUAACCAUAAGUAAAUCGCACCUGGCACUGUAAGUGUUUUAAACGUCAGAAGUUAAACCUUAAAUUGUAUCCUGAUUCUUAAAGGAAGGCAGUAAAUUACUCACUGAACAAAUGGGUGACAUAAUCAAAAUGAGUAACACUGCUGAAUCCUGAACAGGCUGCAGAGUCUGAGCAUAGGAAAUUGGAGGACUAGUUAGGAGAUGUUGUUACGAAGUUACAAUUGGUGAAAAGCCAGGCACUACCACAGUCCUCCUACAGCUUGGCUCACCUAGUGAUUGCUGAACUGCCCAGCAUGCUGCCUGCUUUUACUUUCCUUCUUAAAA